CUGCAGCUCAAGUGGUGACCGCUAUUAUUGGGCCUAAAACGUUCGUAGCCGGCUGAGUAAAUGCUUGGGUAAAUCGUGCCGCUUAACGGUACGAAUUCCGGGUAGACUACUCAGCUUGAGACCGGGAGAAGCUAGAGGUACUCCUGGGGUAGAGGUGAAAUUCUGUAAUCCUAGGGGGACCACCAGUGGCGAAGGCGUCUAGCUAGAACGGGUCUGACGGUGAGGAACGAAGCCCUGGGGCGCAAACCGGAUUAGAUACCCGAGUAGUCC
rnacentral:rRNA from 1 species